GUACACGCUGUGACUAGCAUAUCAAUAAGCGGAGGAAAAGAAGGGCUUCCUCUGUGAUUUUUAUGAGAUGAUUCAUGAUCUGGUCUACAUUCUGGCGGCUGUUGCGCUGCUGUUUGUAUUUAUGGUUCGGCUUGUAGGUGUGGAUGGCUCCUCUAUGGUACCUACGCUUAGGAUGUUGACGAGACUGUCGAUCUCAUCUAUACAUGACUCUGUGCAUAUCAAUAAGCGGAGGAAAAGAGGGCUGUUACCUACGCUUAGGAUGUUGACGAGACUGUCGAUCUCAUCUAUACAUGACUCUGUGCAUAUCAAUAAGCGGAGGAAAAGAAACUAACAAGGAUUCCCCUAGUAACGGCGAGUGAAGCGGGAAGAGCUCAAAUUUGAAAUCUUAAAGGGUUUCCCUUUACGAAUUGUAGUUUAAAGAAGUGUUUUCUGUUGAGGUUUUGGUAAAAGUUCUUUGGAAUAGGACAUCAUAGAGGGUGAGAAUCCCGUAUUUGACCUUUACUUUCAACUUUGUGAUACACUCUCAAAGAGUCGGAUUGUUUGGGAAUGCAGUCCAAAAUGGGUGGUAAAUUUCAUCUAAAGCUAAAUAUUGGCGAGAGACCGAUAGCGAACAAGUACCGUGAGGGAAAGAUGAAAAGAACUUUGAAAAGAGAGUUAAACAGUACGUGAAAUUGUCAAAAGGGAAGCGUUUGACACCAGUGUUGUUUUUCUGAAAAUCAAUUAAAGAACUGUUUAUGCUAAGCUGUUUAGACUUUAUCAGCUAACUGUUUAGUUUUGAGCUUUUCUUUAAUGCACUUUUCAGUUAACAAGUCAACAUCAAUUUCUUUUGCUGUAAAAAAGCUUGAGGAAGGUGGCUUGAGAUUCGUCUUAAGUGUUUAUAGCCUCUUGCCUAUGCAGUCGGAGAGAUUGAGGUCUGCAGCGUAGAUCCUUCGGGGCUAAAUGCAUUUGUGCUAAGUUAUAACAUUUUAUAGACAACUUGUUGACUAUGAUUUGUCUUGUAGCUUACUCGCUUAUGUUAUUUUACCUACGCUUAGGAUGUUGACGAGACUGUCGAUCUC
rnacentral:rRNA from 1 species